AUUGAACGCUGGCGGCAUGCCUAACACAUGCAAGUCGAACGAGUGGCGCACGGGUGCGUAACGCGUGGGAACUGCCCUUAGGUUCGGAAUAACAGCUGGAAACGGCUGCUAAUACCGGAUCCUGAGGAUGAGCCCGCGUUGGAUUAGGUAGUUGGUGGGGUAAAGGCCUACCAAGCCGACGAUCCAUAGCUGGUCUGAGAGGAUGAUCAGCCACACUGGGACUGAGACACGGCCCAGACUCCUACGGGAGGCAGCAGUGGGGAAUCUUCGGCAAUGGGGGGAACCCUGACCGAGCAACGCCGCGUGAGUGAAGAAGGUUUUCUGAUCGUAAAGCUCUGUUGUUAAGGAAGCGGUACUUAACCAGAAAGGGACGGCUAACUACGUGCCAGCAGCCGCGGUAAUUC
rnacentral:rRNA from 1 species